rnacentral:rRNA from 1 species
GAUGAACGCUGGCGGCGUGCCUAAUACAUGCAAGUCGAGCGAACGGACGAGAAGCUUGCUUCUCUGAUGUUAGCGGCGGACGGGUGAGUAACACGUGGAUAACCUACCUAUAAGACUGGGAUAACUUCGGGAAACCGGAGCUAAUACCGGAUGAUAUUUUGAACCGCAUGGGUCAAAAGUGAAAGACGGUCGUGCUGUCACUUAUAGAUGGAUCCGCGCUGCAUUAGCUAGUUGGUAAGGUAACGGCUUACCAAGGCAACGAUGCAUAGCCGACCUGAGAGGGUGAUCGGCCACACUGGAACUGAGACACGGUCCAGACUCCUACGGGAGGCAGCAGUAGGGAAUCUUCCGCAAUGGGCGAAAGCCUGACGGAGCAACGCCGCGUGAGUGAUGAAGGUCUUCGGAUCGUAAAACUCUGUUAUUAGGGAAGAACAUAUGUGUAAGUAACUGUGCACAUCUUGACGGUACCUAAUCAGAAAGCCACGGCUAACUACGUG